AUUUAAAUAGUUUAUAUAAAAUAUUGAUUUGUGGAAUCAAAGAUGUAAGUUAUUACUUUAGAUA
rnacentral:tRNA from 1 species